rnacentral:rRNA from 1 species
AUUGAACGCUGGCGGCAUGCCUUACACAUGCAAGUCGAACGGCAGCACGGGGGCAACCCUGGUGGCGAGUGGCGAACGGGUGAGUAAUGCAUCGGAACGUGUCCUCUUGUGGGGGAUAACCAGCCGAAAGAUUGGCUAAUGCCGCAUGAGAUCGCAAGAUGAAAGCGGGGGACCGCAAGGCCUCGCGCGAGAGGAGCGGCCGAUGCCGGAUUAGCUAGUUGGUGGGGUAAAAGCCGACCAAGGCGACCAUCCGUAGCUGGUCUGAGAGGACGACCAGCCACACUGGGACUGAGACACGGCCCAGACUCCUACGGGAGGCAGCAGUGGGGAAUUUUGGACAAUGGGCGCAAGCCUGAUCCAGCCAUGCCGCGUGUGUGAAGAAGGCCUUCGGGUUGUAAAGCACUUUCGGACGGAACGAAAUCGCGCGGGCGAACAUCCCGCGUGGAUGACGGUACCGUAAGAAGAAGCACCGGCUAACUACGUGCCAGCAGCCGCCGUAA